rnacentral:misc_RNA from 1 species
UGGUUCUGGCAUCGAUGAAGAACGCAGCAAAAUGCGAUAAGUAAUGCGAAUUGCAGAAUUUCCGUGAGUCAUCGAAUCUUUGAACGCACAUUGCGCCCUUUGGUAUUCCGAAGGGCAUGCCUGUUCGAGCGUCAUUAUCACCCUUCCAGCCCCUGUGCUGGCAGUUGGGUCGCGUCGAGCUCUAUGAGCGCGACUGACCUCAAAGACAAUGACGACGUCCGUGGGACCCUCGGUGCAACGAGCUUUCACAAAGCACGCACUAGAGUUGCAAGGUCUCCGGGGUCGUCGACCUGUAUGGCCACAUACAUUUUUCAAGGUUGACCUCGGAUCAGGUAGGAAUACCCGCUGA